AGAUUGAACUGAAGAGUUUGAUCCUGGCUCAGAUUGAACGCUGGCGGAAUGCUUUACACAUGCAAGUCGAACGGCAGCACGGGAGCUUGCUCCUGGUGGCGAGUGGCGAACGGGUGAGUAAUGCGUCGGAACGUACCGAGUAAUGGGGGAUAACGCAGCGAAAGUUGUGCUAAUACCGCAUACGCCCUGAGGGGGAAAGCGGGGGAUCGUAAGACCUCGCGUUAUUCGAGCGGCCGACGUCUGAUUAGCUUGUUGGUGGGGUAAUGGCCCACCAAGGCGACGAUCAGUAGCGGGUCUGAGAGGAUGAUCCGCCACACUGGAACUGAGACACGGUCCAGACUCCUACGGGAGGCAGCAGUGGGGAAUUUUGGACAAAGGGCGCAAGCCUGAUCCAGCCAUGCCGCGUGAGUGAAGAAGGCCUUCGGGUUGUAAAGCUCUUUCAGCCGGGAAGAAAACGCAUGGGUUAAUACCCUGUGUGGAUGACGGUACCGGAAUAAGAAGCACCGGCUAACUACGUGCCAGCAGCCGCGGUAAUACGUAGGGUGCGAGCGUUAAUCGGAAUUACUGGGCGUAAAGCGUGCGCAGGCGGUUUUGUAAGACAGGCGUGAAAUCCCCGGGCUCAACCUGGGAACUGCGUUUGUGACUGCAAGGCUAGAGUAUGGCAGAGGGGGGUGGAAUUCCACGUGUAGCAGUGAAAUGCGUAGAGAUGUGGAGGAACACCGAUGGCGAAGGCAGCCCCCUGGGAUAACACUGACGCUCGGGCACGAAAGCGUGGGGAGCAAACAGGAUUAGAUACCCUGGUAGUCCACGCCCUAAACGAUGUCAACUGGUUGUUGGGGGAUUUAUUCUCUUAGUAACGAAGCUAACGCGUGAAGUUGACCGCCUGGGGAGUACGGUCGCAAGAUU
rnacentral:rRNA from 1 species